rnacentral:lncRNA from 1 species
AACAUAACCUGAUGGAUAAAUUGCUAUAAAACGGUUUCCAGAUAGCGAUGAGUCUAGUUCUGGACACAGAUGAAGUCUAGUUCUGGACACAGAUUAAGUCUAGUUCUGGACACAGAUUAAGUCUAGUUCUGGACACAGAUUAAGUCUAGUUCUGGACACAGAUGAAGUCUAGUUCUGGACACAGAUGAAGUCUAGUUCUGGACACAGAUUAGUC